rnacentral:rRNA from 1 species
GAUGAACGUUGGCGGCGUGCCUAACACAUGCAAGUCGAACGCUAGUAGCAAUAUUAGAGUGGCGCACGGGUGAGUAACACGUAGCUUAUCUACCUCCCAGCGCGGGAUAACGGUUCGAAAGAACUGCUAAUACCGCAUAAGCUCACGAGCUAUAGAGGCUGGUGAGAAAAGGCUUAGGUCACUGGGAGCGGGGGCUGCGGCCCAUCAGCUAGUUGGUGAGGAACGGCUUACCAAGGCGACGACGGGUAGGGGACC